rnacentral:rRNA from 1 species
UACGUAGGUGGCAAGCGUUGUCCGGAUUUACUGGGCGUAAAGAGCGCGCAGGCGGUCGUUCAAGUCGCGUGUGAAAGCCCCCGGCUCAACUGGGGAGGGUCACGCGAUACUGAUCGACUCGAAGGCAGGAGAGGGAAGUGGAAUUCCCGGUGUAGUGGUGAAAUGCGUAGAUAUCGGGAGGAACACCAGUGGCGAAGGCGGCAUCCUGGACCGAGAUUGACGCUGAUGCGCGAAAGCCAGGGGAGCAAACGGG